rnacentral:piRNA from 1 species
UUGGGCUGAAUGUCUAUGUAAUGCAUGGU